AAAGCUUAUAUUAUAAUUAUUUUCUAAAAAAAAACGUUUAGUGUAUUUUGAAUUAGGGGCACUCUUUUUAAUUUAAUUUCAGAGUUGUAUUCUUUAUAUUUUAAUUAGAAAUUUCUAUUUGUCUUACCUGUAUACAAUUUAUUACAGUUACUCUAAAGUUUAUAUAUACCUGUAUUUUCAAAAGAAGUGGGAUUUUUUGUGAAGUUUUUAGUUCUAUUUUUUGUAUGCUUGAUUAAAUUAUUAUUAAUCUUAAAAGAUUUUUAUAUUAUUUUUAUUAUUGUUUAGAAUUUUAGCUAAUUUGUUCAACAUAUUAUUUUGAGUUUUCAUACAACAAUAGUUAACAUUAUUUGGUGAGAUGUUUAAUUUUUUCUUU